UACGUAGGGUGCGAGCGUUGUCCGGAAUUAUUGGGCGUAAAGAGCUCGUAGGCGGUGCGUCGCGUCGGCCGUGAAAACCUGCAGCUUAACUGUGGGCGUGCGGUCGAUACGGGCAUCACUGGAGUUCGGCAGGGGAGACUGGAAUUCCUGGUGUAGCGGUGAAAUGCGCAGAUAUCAGGAGGAACACCGGUGGCGAAGGCGGGUCUCUGGGCCGAUACUGACGCUGAGGAGCGAAAGCGUGGGGAGCGAACAGG
rnacentral:rRNA from 1 species